rnacentral:rRNA from 1 species
UUAUAUGGUCAAGCGACUAAGCGCGCGCGGUGGAUGCCUAGGCGGCAGGAGGCGAUGAAGGACGUUGUAGCCUGCGAUAAGCCUCGGGGAGCUGGCAAACAAGCUUUGAUCCGGGGAUUUCCGAAUGGGGCAACCCGGCCACUUCGGUGGUCAUCGCACACUGAAUUCAUAGGUGUGCGAGGCGAACCCGGGGAACUGAAACAUCUAAGUACCCGGAGGAAAAGAAAUCAACCGAGAUUCCCUCAGUAGCGGCGAGCGAACGGGGAACAGCCCAGUCACCAUCAACUCGUGAAUCCUAGUAAAACGGUCUGGAAAGUCCGGCCAUAGAAGGUGAUAGCCCUGUAUGCGAAAGGUGAAGCGAGGGGGUGACGAAGAGUAGGACGGGGCACGUGAAACCUUGUCUGAAGAUGGGGGGACCAUCCUCCAAGGCUAAAUACUCCCUGCCGACCGAUAGUGAACUAGUACCGUGAGGGAAAGGCGAAAAGAACCCCGGAGAGGGGAGUGAAAUAGAACCUGAAACCGCGUGCGUACAAGCAGUGGGAGCCCGGCUUCGGCUGGGUGACUGCGUACCUUUUGUAUAAUGGGUCAGCGAGUUACUUUUUGCGGCAAGCUUAACCGUGUAGGGGAGGCGUAGGGAAACCGAGUCUUAAAUGGGCGAUUGAGUCGUAAGGAGUAGACCCGAAACCGGGCGAGCUAGCCAUGGCCAGGGUGAAGGCAGGGUAAAACCUGCUGGAGGCCCGAACCGGGUAAUGUUGAAAAAUUAUCGGAUGAGCUGUGGCUAGGAGUGAAAGGCUAAACAAGCUCGGAGAUAGCUGGUUCUCCUCGAAAGCUAUUUAGGUAGCGCCUCGUGUCUCACUCCUGGGGGUAGAGCACUGUUUCGGCUAGGGGGUCAUCCCGACUUACCAAACCGAUGCAAACUCCGAAUACCAGGAAGUGCAAUCACGGGAGACACACGGCGGGUGCUAACGUCCGUCGUGGAAAGGGAAACAACCCAGACCGCCAGCUAAGGUCCCGAAAUUACAGCUAAGUGGGAAACGAUGUGGGAAGGCAGAGACAGCCAGGAGGUUGGCUUAGAAGCAGCCACCCUUUAAAGAAAGCGUAACAGCUCACUGGUCUAGUCGGCCUGCGCGGAAGAUUUACCGGGGCUCAAGCUGUAUACCGAAGCUGCGGAUGCGUGCAUUUCCUAAUGCACGCAUGGUAGAGGAGCGUUCUGUAAGCCUGCGAAGGUGUGCUGCGAGGCAUGCUGGAGGUAUCAGAAGUGCGAAUGCUGACAUGAGUAACGAUAAUGCGGGUGAAAAACCCGCACGCCGAAAACCCAAGGUUUCCUGCGCAACGCUAAUCGGCGCAGGGUGAGUCGGCCCCUAAGGCGAGACCGAAAGGUGUAGUCGAUGGGAAACAGGUCAACAUUCCUGUACCGCGGACUAUUGCGAUGGGGGGACGGAGAAGGCUAGGCCUACCGGGCGUUGGUUGUCCCGGGGAAAGUAUGUAGGCAGGGAUCUCAGGCAAAUCCGGGAUCUCAAUGUCGAGAUACGAGACCACCGGCCUUUGUGCCGGGAAGUGGCCGAUGCCAUGCUUCCAGGAAAAGCCUCUAAGCUUCAGAUAGUUCGUGACCGUACCGUAAACCGACACAGGUGGGUGAGGAGAGAAUCCUAAGGCGCUUGAGAGAACUCGGGUGAAGGAACUAGGCAAAUUGGUACCGUAACUUCGGGAGAAGGUACGCCCCUGCUGGUGACGAGACUUGCUCUCCGAGCUGGUGGGGGUUGCAGUGACCAGGUGGCUGCGACUGUUUAUUAAAAACACAGCACUCUGCAAACUCGAAAGAGGACGUAUAGGGUGUGACGCCUGCCCGGUGCCGGAAGGUUAAGUGAUGGGGUUAGCUCUUCGGAGCGAAGCUCUUGAUCGAAGCCCCGGUAAACGGCGGCCGUAACUAUA